AUCAUGAGCCAUAUCUCCCUCCAGUUCUCACCUGGUGUCCCACUGAAGCUAAGCAGGGUUGAGCCUGGCCCAUACCUGGAUGGGAGGCCUUCUGGGGAAAGCUAAGGUUGCUGCUGGAA
rnacentral:rRNA from 1 species